UACGGAGGAUGCAAGCGUUAUCCGGAUUUAUUGGGCGUAAAGCGUCCGCAGGUGGUUUUCCAAGUCUGCUGUUAAAGCGCGAGGCUUAACCUCGUACAGGCAGUGGAAACUGGAUGACUAGAGUAUGGUAGGGGUAGCGGGAAUUCCCAGUGUAGCGGUGAAAUGCGUAGAUAUUGGGAAGAACACCAGCGGCGAAAGCGCGCUACUGGGCCAUUACUGACACUCAUGGACGAAAGCUAGGGGAGCGAAAGGG
rnacentral:rRNA from 2 species